CGCAAAAUUGUUUUGAUAAUGAUUAGGAAAUUGGCAUUUAAACCAUGGCGAAGUCAAAUGUGUUUAAUUCGCUUUACAAAUCACAAUGCCUACCAAGGAAAGAAUCAAAUGGAAAAGAGAAGAAGCGGUGAAGGUUGAAGCAAGGAAGUGUCGCCGACUAAUAGAUUUCUUCGCUCCUAACAGGUAUGUCCCUCUAAACCGGACUUAGACGAGUCAGAGGUAGUUUGCUAUGAAAAUUCAAGGGCACACGAGACAGAGCCAGUUAAUCCAACACAGAAGAAAGAUGGUGGUCACAAGACUGCAUUUGACACAAAGUGGCAACAAAACCGUCCCUGGUCGAGGUACUCAGAAGAUGACAAAAAGAAGGGAAUGAUGUUUUGUUCAUUAUGUUCUAAGUGGAA